GCCCUUAGAGUUUGAUCCUGGCUCAGAACGAACGCUGGCGGCAGGCCUAAUACAUGCAAGUCGAGCGCGCCCUUCGGGGUGAGCGGCGGACGGGUGAGUAACGCGUGGGAAUAUGCCCUUCUCUAAGGAAUAGCCUCUGGAAACGGAGAGUAAUACCUUAUACGCCCUUUGGGGGAAAGAUUUAUCGGAGAAGGAUUAGCCCGCGUUAGAUUAGGUAGUUGGUGGGGUAAUGGCCUACCAAGCCUACGAUCUAUAGCUGGUUUGAGAGGAUGAUCAGCCACACUGGGACUGAGACACGGCCCAGACUCCUACGGGAGGCAGCAGUAGGG
rnacentral:rRNA from 1 species